GACGAACGCUGGCGGCGUGCUUAACACAUGCAAGUCGAACGGAAAGGCCCUGCUUUUGUGGGGUGCUCGAGUGGCGAACGGGUGAGUAACACGUGAGUAACCUGCCCUUGACUUUGGGAUAACUUCAGGAAACUGGGGCUAAUACCGGAUAGGAGCUCCUGCUGCAUGGUGGGGGUUGGAAAGUUUCGGCGGUUGGGGAUGGACUCGCGGCUUAUCAGCUUGUUGGUGUGGUAGUGGCUUACCAAGGCUUUGGCGGGUAGCCGGCCUGAGAGGGUGACCGGCCACAUUGGGACUGAGAUACGGCCCAGACUCGUACGGGAGGCAGCAGUGGGGAAUAUUGCACAAUGGGCGGAAGCCUGAUGCGGCAGCGCCGCGUGCGGGAUGACGUCCUUCGGGUUGUAAACCGCUUUCGACUGUGACGAAGCGUGAGUGACGGUAAUGGGUAAAGAAGCACCGGCUAACUACGUG
rnacentral:rRNA from 1 species